GACGAACGCUGGCGGCGUGCUUAACACAUGCAAGUCGAACGAUGAAGCUGGAGCUUGCUCCAGUGGAUUAGUGGCGAACGGGUGAGUAACACGUGAGCAAUCUGCCCUUGACUCUGGGAUAACUGCGGGAAACUGUAGCUAAUACCGGAUACGACACCUUGGGGCAUCCCGGGGUGUGGAAAGAAUUUCGGUCAAGGAUGAGCUCGCGGCCUAUCAGCUUGUUGGUGAGGUAAAGGCUCACCAAGGCGGCGACGGGUAGCCGGCCUGAGAGGGUGACCGGCCACACUGGAACUGAGACACGGUCCAGACUCCUACGGGAGGCAGCAGUGGGGAAUAUUGCACAAUGGGCGAAGGCCUGAUGCAGCAACGCCGCGUGAGGGAUGACGGCCUUCGGGUUGUAAACCUCUUUUAGCAGGGAAGAAGCGAAAGUGACGGUACCUGCAGAAAAAGCACCGGCUAACUACGUGCCAGCCGCCGCAGUAA
rnacentral:rRNA from 1 species